CAGGUUUCCGUUUCCGCACGCUUCGAUAUCGGCUAGAUCCCUGGGUUAUGCGGUCAACCCUGUUAGAAAUCCUGCGACCGGCUUGCUGUAAUAAAUUUUCCUUCGCGCGCAGUCCAACAUCGGCUUAAACUAUGUUUUGGCGUGUAUAAGCAAGGGACACUUUGACCUUACAGUUACACCACCAUCCAUGAGCCACCUCACGCUAGCAUUGGGCGGCGGAUGUUUGG
rnacentral:lncRNA from 1 species